rnacentral:lncRNA from 1 species
CAGUGCAGUGUUGCAGCGGCGUAGCGUGGGUUGUCAGCACCCGGGGCAAGGCAAGUAAUUUGCACCCCCUAACCCGGGGCAAGGCAAGUAAUUUGCGCCCCCUAACCCCUAACCUGCUGCCGCUGCCAGCUUCUUCUUGCUGCUGCCUGGGCUGGUCUGGUGUGGUUCUCUCCUGCGCUCAGCGCUGCGCUGGGCGGCCGCUGCACUGUCCCUCCCCCAGAUAGUCCCUCCCUCUCUCUCCGCACCACACGCCUGGCACCCACCCCCUCCACAGUGGGCGGCGACCCAGCGGCUCGGAUCGGAUUCGCACAGCCAGCACUGCAGUGAGAGAGAGUGAGUGAGCCAGGUAGGGGCAGAGAGCUGCGAGUGCGAGCGCGCCCCCCCCCCAGAUGUUGCGCCCGGCGCGGCCGGCCCCCCCUCACCCCCCACGCUACGCCACUGCAGUGUUGCUACCUAAAUAGCUUUUCUCCAGUUUGUCUUCUUCUGAACGCUCAGGCCCUGUUUUGUUUUGGGGUUUUUUAAUGACCCAUUUGUUGGUGAGAACUUCAGUACAUAACACCAUUCUUCCAAGUUUCUUUUAAAAUGAAAAAUAGCAACUCAAGUCAAGGAGAGAAAAAUUAAAAAUUUAGUUCCCUGCAUUUUUUCCUAGCUCCUACCAGAAAUAAAAUGCAAGCAAUACAGUUCAUUUGCUUGGAUGAAACAGGGAGUGAUCUUCUCCCUGUUUCCAUUUUAAAAAAAAGAUGUUUACUGACCUUAUUACCCGGCCUUUGAUCGCUGUGUCCUGCAAACACUUAUGCACUUGAAUAAGCUUACGCAUGCAAAUAGUUCUCCUGAAGUUAGUCAAGUGCAUAAGCGUUUGCCAAAUUGGGCCCUAAGAGAACUAAAUACAGGUCCCUCUGGACCCCACCAAUACUGUUUGUAUGUCAGCCAGAGGGAAUCUCCCAGGAGUGAUGCAACAUUCUCCUCUCCAGAGGCUGAGCAUACAUUUUAUGCAGCACUGCACUAACUCAUGCCCACUUAGGAAAUCCAAGUUUGGAAGCCAGUAUUCUAAAUGGCUUUGAGUUCAUUUUAUUUCUCAUUUUUGGGAUUCCCCCCCCCCCCCAUUAGGGCUGCCAUACGACUGGAUUUUCCUGGACAUUACUGGGAUUUCAAAGGUGGAAUUGACGUCCAGGGGGGAUUUCUGAAAGGCGGUGCUCUGCCCUAGAUCUAAGACGAGCCCAUCAAAAUAUUGCACUUUUUUGUAAAUAAAUAAAUAAAUAAAUAAAUAAAUAAAUAAAUAGCUUAACAAUUGGGGGGUUUCCAAAAAAUAUGACAACCUACGCAUUUCUGCAUUCUCUGUCAAAAUUGGCCCCUCCAAGCUAACAGCUAAAAGGUACCUUUCUGACUGUAAAACGUCUUUCUCUCAAGUAAUACAUUAAGAUAUGAUAAUACUAAUAAAAUGAUAAACAACAGAGAAGUUGAACUCACAAAUAACAGAAAAGCACAAUGUUCAGACCCACUGUGCAUGGCCAAUUGUUAUUUUCGAGGCACAAGUUCCCCAAUACACCAGGCCUGCACAAAACAAUUGGUUUUUUAAAAAAAAUAAAUCUAAAAUGUGUAUGCCGUGCCCAGAUCCGCCAGCAGGCCACGGAGGACCAUCUCGCCAACAGAAUGAGGGGCUGUGGUGAUCGAUGGUGCCCAGCAAAACAUCACUACAUUCAUUUUAAAGAACACUCACCAUCUUGCACUUCACUGCAUCCACAGUUGGGUAAUAUGCUAUUUUAUGCUGAAUUUGUGUCCCUGCCACCACCACCUUAUCAUAUUAUCCACAGAUCAGGAAAAUCCAAAUUGUUAUUUAUAUAUAUAUAUAUUUAAAAAUUAUAUAUGGAUGUUUUAUGAUGGCCUAUAUUUGGGGACGCGGGUGGCGCUGUGGUCUAAACCACUAAGCCUCUUGGGCUUGCCGAUCACAAAGUUGGUGGUUCGAAUCCCCGCAACGGGGUGAGCUCCCGUUGCUCAGUCCCAGCUCCUGCCAACCUAGCAGUUCAAAAGCACCCCAGAAAGUGCAAGUAGAUAAAUAGGUACCGCUCUGGCGGGAAGGUAAAUGGCAUUUCUGUGCGCUGCUCUGGUGUCGGUGUUCUGUUGCGCCAGAAGCAGCUUAGUCAUGCUGGCCACAGGACCCAGAAAAACUGUCUGCGGACAAACGCCGGCUCCCUCGGCCUAUAAAGCGAGAUGAGUGCUGCAAUCCCAGAGUCGUUCGCGACUGUACUUAACUGUCAGGGGUCCUUUACCUUUACCUUUAUAUUUGCAAUGCCUAACAAAGAAAGCUUGUGAGAAAAUCCAAAUUAAACAGGGAGGACAUUCAGGCUGUCACUUGGAUGAUGACAUUGUGGAUGCAAAAAGCAUGCAUACAUGGGAUACUUAGGAUCUGUUUUAAACUGCUGUGUAUAUCUAAAAAAAACCAACCAACUACUAGUGUUCAUGGAGUAUCACCAACCUGUGUGGAUAUUCUUUGUAUUCUUGCAGCGCUGGAAAGAAUUCUAGUUCUCAACUUGAUUAACCCCAAGACAGAUUUGUCAUUUGAUGCUUUCCUAAUGCCCUGAAAUCUAAGCCAUCCCCCAGUUAUUAAUUGGUAGCUACCAUUUUUUCAUUGUAACUCAACUCAUGGCAUGUUGAUUUUUCUGGGACUUACCUCCUAUUGGUAUUGGAUUUGGUACAGAAUAUUUUUAUAUCUAUGGUGAAAAAAUGAGAUCCACAAUUGUACUCCUUAGAGUGCAGGUGUGGGUGAAGAUGGUUCAAACCCAGAAGUGGUUUUUAGUGCAAUUUAGAAAAGAAAAACAGUUUAUUCCGAGUCAGGUCACUUGGAAUUUUAAAUAUAAUAAAAGAAAAUGUUCUGUGUAUCUUAGAAUGGCAAUGGCGCCCACUUGAGAGGUGCCAGAACUGAGUUCUGUUGAGUUCCAGCUGGGGGAAAAGCCUUGGUCUCCAGAGACAAUGCAGUGAACCUCUGGGGGUGAAGUGAUGUAUGAUCAAGUUGAGAUUCCUGCACUGCAAGAGGGUUGGACUAGAUGACCCUUGGGAUCCCUUCCAAGUCUAUAAUUCUAGGAUUCUAUAUAUUUUGCCCUGGCAUCUAGUUUUCUAUCUGCAUGGAUAUCUUUGGAAGAGCAUACAGUCUUGUGAGCCCCAUAGUUUUGUGAGACUGUAUAUGUAUUUUUUAAAUGCCUGUAACUAUAUGUGCACAUUUCAAGUGGGCAAUUUAUCCAAAAGAAAGUAAGUGCUCCAUUUUACAAUUCAUGCUUGGGGAUAUUCUAAAUUAAAAGAAAAUAGCUGACUGAAACUUCGGGAGAUCACACCAUCAAGGAUCUACUUGUGUUCAAAUCCCUGCAGCGAUUUUGGCAAAAUACAGCGAAGAUACUUGGCUAAACACUCUCAAUGUAGCCUCAAAGUAGCACAACUGCCUUGGUGACAGCAAAGGACCAAAGAAAAACAACAUGAUGCAAAAGGAAAGAGAAACUCUGUCAUAUUAAAUUUCUGAUAAAAACAGAAGAGGUUAUGAACACAGCAGAAGAAUGAGGUACGUCGACGCUACCAAAAGGAAAUGGAGCUGGAAACGAAACACUUUUAUAACAAGAUGACUGCUGACAACACUACAGAAAGUAGGUGACAGCGUUUCAAAGUCAAGACAUGCUACAUACUUGCUGAUGUGUUUACAACACAGAUGAAAGGAUAGUCUCGAGAUUUCACGAGAAAUAUCAGAUGACACCUUUGACGUUGAUAAAGUUAUUAAAACAUUUCCUUGGAUAAAACCCAUCAAGGUAAACUUUAUAAUUUGCAUACUCAAUCUAGAGCAGUGGCUUAUGGUCUUUUACCUUUCUGUUAUAAUUCUUAUAACAUUAUGUAUGGAGUUCUUUACUCUCUUUUUUAUUAUUCUCAAAUAUCAACAAGGAUGUGAGUACAGUAGUUUUCUGUUAGCAGGUUCUCUUCAAGAGGUGUAUGGACGAAAGCCUCCUCCACUAGCUGAACAAGGCCUAAAUUAAAGAACAAAUGAUGAUAUUGUCUAUUUUCAGAACAAGAGCUGAUAACCAGCAUCUUGGGCGGGGGGGAAUAUUAUGUACUCUCUCCCACUCUUGAAAUUUUUCACCUCUGUUCCCUUGUCUAUUUCCUUGUCUAGGGUUGCCAUGUUUCAAAAAGUAAAAAUCAGGACAACCCAAAAGCGUUUUUAAGGAAACCCCCCAAACUGUUGAGCUUUCCCCAAAGUUGUUUACAAAACCGUCAAAAGCAAUUUUUCAAUUGACUUGUCUAAGAUCCAGGACCAAGCGACACCUUUCAGAAAUUCCCACCCGAAUUUGUUGUGUUGUGUUGACUCUAUUUCCAAACUAAUUGUGUGCUCUGUGAAGGCAAGGCUGGAAAAUAGUACUUAAACUGAAACAAAAUACCACCUCCCUUUUCUCUAACAAAUCAGAAAGAAUAGACAAUCUUGUAAUCGGAGCUCAUCGUCACUAAUGGAUGCUGAAGGUAAAGGUAAAGGGACCCCUGACCAUUAGGUCCAGUCAUGGCCGACUCUGGGGUUGCGGCGCUCAUCUCGCUUUAUUGACUGAGGGAGCCGGCGUACAGCUUCUGGGUCAUGUGGCCAGCAUGACUAAGUCACUUCUGGUGAACCAGAGCAGCGCACAGAAACGCUGUUUACCUUCCCGCUGGAGCGGUACCUAUUUAUCUACUUGCACUUUGACAUGCUUUCGAACUGCUAGGUUGGCAGGAGCAGGGACCGAGCAACGGGAGCUCACCCCGUCAUGGGGAUUCGAACCGCCAACCUUCUGAUCAGCAAGUCCUAGGCUCUGUGGUUUAACCCAGAAGUGGCUUAGUCAUGUUGGCUACAUGACCCGGAAAAACUGUCUGCGGACAAACGUCAGCUCCUUUGGCCAGUAUAGCUAGAUGAGCGCCAAAACCCCAGUUGUUCUUUACCUUUUUACCUUUACUCAAAUAGUACUGGGCCGAGUGAGGCUCCAGUCCAAAGAACUCCAUGAGUAGUGCUAUGUAUCUAAGGGGCCUUUGAGCUUCUAAUUCCUGCAAAGUAGCCCCAAAGCCACAUGUCAAAGGGAUGAACAGAAGGAGUCUGGGGUCUUCUCAAGCUCUGGGGCGUUCCUUACAGUUCUUUGGAUCUCAGCCUGAGCUUUCAAAGGAAAUAGGAGAAAGCUUCCAUUCCCUAUGUGAUUCUAUGCAUGUUCACUGCAUAUAUAAUUGUUGGUUGGUUGUUUAGUCGUUUAGUCGUGACCGACUCUUCGUGACCCCAUGGACCAGAGCACGCCAGGCACUCCUGUCUUCCACUGCCUCCUGCAGUUUAGUCAAACUCAUGCUGGUAGCUUCGAGAACACUGUCCAACCAUCUCAUCCUCUGUCGUCCCCUUCUCCUUGUGCCCUCCAUCUUUCCCAACAUCAGGGUCUUUUCAGGGAGUCUUCUCUUCUCAUGAGGUGGCCAAAGUAUUGGAGCCUCAGCUUCAUGAUCUGUCCUUCCAGUGAGCACUCAGUGCUGAUUUUCUUAGGAAUGGAUAGGUUUGAUCUUCUUGCAGUCCAUGGGACUCUCAAGAGUCUCCUCCAGCACCGUAAUUCAAAAGCAUCAAUUCUUUGGCAAUCAGCCUUCUUUAUGGUCCAGCUCUCACUUCCAUACAUCACUACUGGAAAAACCAUAGCUUUAACUAUACGGACCUUUGUUGGCAAGGUGAUGUCUCUGCUUUUUAAGAUGCUGUCUAGAUAUAUAAUUGUACUUUUGAGAAAACAUGCAUAUCUUUUGCCUGCAAUCCUAUAAGCAUUUAUUCUGGAACUGAGACUCUCUGAACUGGAUGGGAUUUGAUUCAGGCCAGGACAAACCUACACAGGGUCAGGAUGCUCCUUCCAAAUAGAAUAGUUAUAGAGGUCAAAGGAUUGCUGUGAGCACUAUACCUCACAUCAACGUUCUCACAACUGUCCUGACAUCCUGCAUUGCUGUGGAUAGUGGAUGCAUGAAGGCAGAGACAGAGGGAUUUCUGCAGCACAAUUUUGCUUUUUAAAUAGAAUUCAUAAGAAGGAAAUUAACAUCACAUAAAUAUCUUGUCAUAAGUAUUCGGCAAAGGUUAUACUGUUUGCCUGUAUCCUAUCAAAAUCUAUUAUGUUACCUGAGCAAUGCCGGAAGAUAUGCAAGAGCAAAUGCUGAAGAUCAAAAUUACCCAAGAGUAACUUGUCACUAUCAUCAUUUCAGUGAAGUAUAUCACUUAAUCCUUUCCCUUUCUUUCUCCUUUGCCAUACUUAAACAGAUGUAACUGUUGCCAAAGUAGUACUCCCUGCUCACCUUGCAGGAAAACUGUAGAACUACUUAGGAUGCACAAUGAUUUUAAAAUGCAAAUGCUUUAAGUGUGCUGCUUAUACGGAAAAUAAAUGCUGCCUAUGAAAACUGCAUGUUCCAGAUGUUUACGUGUCUGGGUAUAUAUAUUAUUCAAAUACUAGUUGUGAGAACUUUGUGAACACAUACAUGAUUCAUGUCACUUUUGAUUACGGCUCCACUUGAAACAUAAGGUCACCAGCAAAACAAAAGAUAAAGUAUAUGCAAGUGCGACAUGCAACAAAAUGUUGCAGCGUGGACUGUGCAGUCCAAGAUUCCAGCCAUUUUGUUCCAGUUUGUUAGUGUUCCAUCAUGGCCAUGCACAUUCAGAACAACUACUACCAGACUUUUAGAAGACAUCUGAAGGCAGCCCUGUUUAGAGAAGCUUUUAAUGUUUGAUGUAUUACAGUAUUUUAAUAUUUCUUUGGAAGCCGCCCAGAGUGGCUGGGGAAAUUAUUAUUAUUAUUAUUUGGGCAGCUUGGGGUUCCCAUGGGACUCUUACUCCUCCCAGGUUUUUUUGUAUUUCUGCAAACCUAGGGUUCGCCCCUAGCUUGCCGAGACCAUUUUGCUCCAUGACAAACAUAGCCUGAACAUCAGAAAUGGAGGAAAUGGACCUCAUCACCCCAGCUUAAUAAAGUUUGUAUCGUUUACAUGGAAUAGAAAAGAUGGGAAGGCAACUAAUUCUCCUACACAUGACAUCCUAAGAUCUGAACAAACUCUAUAGACCUGUGCCCCAAAUUUUGGGUAGUGAGAGAUUCUUGACUUACCGGUAAGUAUUGCUGAAUUGUACUUUUCAAGCUUAGGGUAUUGCUUUAGAUGCAAGGCCCCAAACCACUGUUUGCACCACUGCAGCUAAACACCAAGUCAAAGGAAAGAAAAUAAUGCUCAUAUGACUACUGCCCAUCAAAAUUUCAAGCACUGUCUAAAAUUCACACCCAGGAAAAUGAUGCCUCAAUCAUAAUGUUGGGCUUAUUAUUUACCAUCCAUACACUUUGUGAUUGUUAUAUGCCACUGUGAUCUCAAAAACAUUUUUCUCCCUUCAUAAUCUGGUACUUACUGAUACCUUUUGAGAAUAUAAGCUUCUUUGUCCUUCCCUGUCCCCACCCCCAACAUCUUUCGCCUUUAUUUGCUUUUUUCUAUUAUUCUCCGAAUUCCUAAGUCUAAAUUCCACCCUCUCUUCUUUUAUCUAUAGGGUAACCUUCAACCUAUAUUCUAAGGUGCAGAGGCUUCUGUGGUGGAAGGAUUUAAGACAGGCAUGUCUCCUUGGGCAACAUAAGUAGAGACAGCAGGAGAAUCAAGGAAAACACGCCGUUAGAAUAAUUCCCUUCAGAGAAAUCAGGAUGCCAAACCGUUCCUUCCAGCUACCGCUCUCAUAGAGAGAAUAUUUAUUCAUUGGUAGAUGAGCUUCAGCAGGCACUCAACACUGGAAUUUGAAUUUCUAGCUUCUACUGAUGCCUCUGAUUUUCCUGGGGAAUAGAAAGGGAGGGGGGAAAUCAGUAGAGUGAGUGCUAAGAGUUUGAUCCAAAAGUUCGGGUCUGUUAACACAAAGCAUUUGAUAUUUCAGCUGAUCCCAGGCUGUACGUCAUUCCUGAACUCCUUGCUGUCCUCUGAACAAUUUUACAGAUUCCUUAGGUACAUCUGCACUGGCGCAAAUUGGGCAGUUUUGCAUUACCUAUACACUGUUGCACAUCCAGCCAAUUCUAUUUGUACCACUCGUUGGUUGUCUGUUACAUAAACACCACAGUACAGUUGAGUCAUGCGAUCCACACUAUAGUCUGGUCACUUCUGCAACUGCUGUUGUAAAUACAAUGAGAUGAUACAAUCAACCUAGGCUCCAUUCCUGUUAUGACUUAAAUAGUCUCUUUGAGCUGUGUUACAUUGAAUUAUAACCCUUCUUAUCUCAAGGACUUUAGGAUGGACUACUGGCUGUCAAUAUCUUCCAAGCCCAGUGCUUAUGCUGACAUUUAAAACCCGGAAUGGUGGGAGACCCAAAUAGAGAAUAUCUUUUCCCAUGCCAUCCUGCACAUUUUUUAAGAUCAGCAAUGGGCAAGGUCAGCAGUGCAGCAGCCCGAGGUAGGGCUUUUUCAGUGGAAGCUCCAAAGCUCUGGAAUGAUCUCUACACUUAAGGUGAAUCUCACCUGGACAUUAUACUCUUAUGGGAAGAUGCUGAAGAAACACACUUAUGCUAGAUUUCUGGAGUUAAGAAGCUAAAAUUUAUUCGAAGUCAGUUUUGUAUUUUACUCAUUGCUAUUUUAUGUUAUGCCAUUUGUAGUUUGUACUGAUGUUUUCAUUGGUUGCAGAAACAUGUAUCAGUGUGCUUUAAUAUGUUGCCCAGUGAAUGUACAGGGAAGAACAGUAUGUAAAUAUCCAAAUAAUAUAAAAGCUUUAAUUGUGUACUGCACAAGAAGCUGCAGCUGGUGAUAUUCCAGGCCCGCCACCAAUUCUAGUCUAAAUAAAGACUAACUAUAAAACUCAAAACUGUUUGUUUGAGAGAAGAAAGCUUGAUUUACUUCCAGCUGAACAGGCUCUCAGGGUGAAUAUUCCUCAAGAGGCUAGAAAGACAAGAUUUCACAAGCUGCAGUUGCUUUGAAAUUUCAGUUACAUUUUGCAUAUUUUAUUAAAAUGUCAUUUUAAUAUAUUUCUCUUGCAGUAUUAUUU